rnacentral:rRNA from 1 species
UACGGGGGGAGCAAGCGUUGUUCGGAUUUACUGGGCGUAAAGGGCGCGUAGGCGGCGUGACAAGUCACUUGUGAAAUCUCCGGGCUUAACUCGGAACGGUCAAGUGAUACUGUCGUGCUAGAGUACAGAAGGGGCAACUGGAAUUCUCGGUGUAGCGGUGAAAUGCGUAGAUAUCGAGAGGAACACCUGCGGCGAAGGCGGAUCUCUGGGCCUUACCUGACGCUCAGGUGCGAAAGCUAGGGGAGCGAACAGG